CCCUUAGAUGUUCUGGGCUGCACGCGCGCUACACUGAUGCACUCAACGAGUUUACGACCUUGCCCGAUAGGGUUGGGUAAUCUUUUUAAAAUGCAUCGUGAUGGGGAUAGAUUAUUGCAAUUAUUAAUCUUCAACGAGGAAUUCCUAGUAAGCGCGAGUCAUCAGCUCGUGCUGAUUACGUCCCUGCCCUUUGUACACACCGCCCGUCGCUCCUACCGAUUGAGUGCUCAGGUGAAUAAUUCGGACUGCAGCAAUGUUUGGAUCCCGAACGUUGCAGCGGAAAGUUUAGUGAACCUUAUCACUUAGAGGAAGGGGAAGUCGUAACA
rnacentral:rRNA from 1 species